AGUGAACGCUAGCGGUAGGCCUAACACAUGCAAGUCGAACGGCAGCACAGGAGAGCUUGCUCUCUGGGUGGCGAGUGGCGGACGGGUGAGGAAUACAUCGGAAUCUACUCUGUCGUGGGGGAUAACGUAGGGAAACUUACGCUAAUACCGCAUACGACCUACGGGUGAAAGCAGGGGACCUUCGGCCCUUGCGCGAUGGAAUGAGCCGAUGUCGGAUUAACUAGUUGGCGGGGUAAAGGCCCACCAAGGCGACGAUCCGUAGCUGGUCUGAGAGGAUGAUCAGCCACACUGGAACUGAGACACGGUCCAGACUCCUACGGGAGGCAGCAGUGGGGAAUAUUGGACAGUGGGCGCAAGCCUGAUCCAGCCAUACCGCGUGGGUGAAGAAGGCCUUCGGGUUGUAAAGCCCUUUUGUUGGGAAAGAAAUCCAGCUGGCUAAUACCCGGUUGGGAUGACGGUACCCAAAGAAUAAGCACCGGCUAACUUCGUGCCAGCCGCCGCGGUAA
rnacentral:rRNA from 1 species